AGAGCAGGGGUCUCAAACUCAUUUGACCUGGGGGCCCCUGGAAGUCUGUGCUGGCUAGCACAAAGUAGUCCCACUAAGAAUGAUGUCUUCACCUUGUGGGUGCAAAGGAGAUGGUCAGAAAGACUUCAUCUCGCCCAAGCUCGGCUUACCCUGAGAAGGAUGUUCUUGGCUGUCCCCAUCUGGUUGAGAAGCUGCUCAUUCUCUGCAGACACCUCAGCCAAACGGUUCACUGUAGUCCUGCUGCUGCUGGCUGAAAGGAGCUGACCAUAAAGGAGCUGACCAGAAAGGAGCUGACCAUAAAGGAGCUGACCAGAAAGGAGCUGACCAUAAAGGAGCUGACCAGAAAGGAGCUGACCAUAAAGCAUCUGACGAGGCAAUCAUGUCCUGGCAUCCGGAUGGUGUGACCAGCCCACCAGUUGUCGCUGUGGCCUCUAUGCUUAUGGACUCAAGAAUGCCUUGGAGACAUCUGAUGUUCAAUGCAUCAAGGCAGCGGAUGUGUCUGCCAUAUAUUGUCCAGGCUUGUCACCCACACAGCAGAGGGACACUUUCAUUGAGGUGCCAAGGUGGUUGUGUUCAAACACCCGGGCGGGAGUGCAGUCUGACAAAGGCAGAGGAGGCUGACUUCAUACGAGCCUGGACGUCUAGGCUCGUAUCAUAUUUUUAU